rnacentral:rRNA from 1 species
UACGAAGGGGGCGAGCGUUGUUCGGAUUUACUGGGCGUAAAGGGCGCGUAGGCGGCGCCGGAAGUCAGGCGUGAAAGCCCCGGGCUCAACCUGGGAAUUGCGCUUGGGACUCUGGUGCUUGAGUUCGGGAGAGGAGAGUGGAAUUCCCAGUGUAGAGGUGAAAUUCGUAGAUAUUGGGAAGAACACCGGUGGCGAAGGCGGCUCUCUGGACCGAGACUGACGCUGAGGCGCGAAAGCGUGGGGAGCAAACAGG